rnacentral:rRNA from 1 species
AAUACGUUCCCGGGCCUUGUACACACCGCCCGUCAAACCAUGGAAGUUGGAAGUGCCUAAAGUGCGUAACCGCAAGGAGCGCCCUAGGGCAAAGCCGAUAACUGGGGCU